GUGAAGGACAUGAGCUUCCCCUUCCACCAUGAUUAUGGGUUAUAAUCAAGCUAUAAGACUUUAACAGGUGUUCUCAAAUGCAGGUUUCCAAUAGCUUUCAAGAUUGUAAAUUGGAAUAGAGAAAAAAAAGGAAAGGAUUCAUGAAGAACUAAAAUGUUCAUAAAAGUCAAGCAAAACAAGAGUUAACUAAAUGGACUGCACUCAGAAAGUUAAAGCAAACUUUUGGACUUUUGCUUGGAAUAUUUCUGAUCCUCGUUUUGUUUUUCAGAGUUAAGGAAACUUAUUUUGAACUUUUUACAGCCUUUAAUAAUUGAGCAAUGUGUAUUCCUCUGAACAAAAUUUGGAGCACGUUUGUUUCUCUCUGCCUGGAUCCUCUAGAAUUUGGUAACUAUCUGUGAGUACUCUUAACUUAUGGCAAUAUAGUUGUUUGCAUCAGUGCAAUAAGAAUCCAUUUCACUUUUUCAACAGGACACAAUUGGAAAAACUGUUAUUUUAUCAAGGCUUUGACUGGAAGGGUAUGCUGCCUUCUAAGGAGUCAAUCUUGACUUGAAGAGCCAAUAAAAACCCUGUCAGGAGAACUGACCUCAUACCUUGUCAACACAGUCCCUGCACAGGGUUCCUAACCUGUGGUCAGUAAAGAAUGCCACUCUCUAACAGAUCCAGGAGUUCCAAGUUCAUCUUGGGACCUUAAGAGAAAAGGAUCACCCAACUCACAGGUAUUCGAGGAUACAAGCCCAUGGCUGGGCUUUAAAAGGUUUUUAUCUGAGAUUCCUUGAGGAACAGAGUUCCAUCAAAGACAAUCCAAAAGGCCUAUAUGGAAAUAAUUAUUCUUGCUGCACAGCAAAAGAAACUGUCAUCAGAGUGAACAGGCAACCUAUAGAAUGGGAGAAAAUUUUUGCAAUCUAUCCAUCUGACAAAGGGCUAAUAUCCAGAAUCUGCAAAGAACUUAAACAGAUUUUCAAGAAAAAAACAAACAACUCCAUUCAAAAAGUGGGAAAAGGAUAUGAAAAGACACUUCUCAAAAGAAGACAUUUAUGUGAUCAACAAACCUAUGAACAAAAGCUCAUCAUCACUGGCCAUUAGAGAAUGCAAAUCAAAACCACAAUGAGAUACCAUCUGAUGCCAGAUAGAAUGGCAAUCAUUAAAAAUAAGGAAACAAAAGAUGCUGGAGAGGAUAUGGAGAAAUAGAAACGUUUUUAUACUGUUGGUGGGAGUGUAAAUUAGUUCAACUAUUGUGGAAGACAGUGUGGCAAUUCCUCAAGGAUCUAGAACCAGAAAUAUCAUUUGACCCAGCCAUCCCAUUGCUGGAUAUAUACCCAAAGGAUCGUAAAUCAUUCUGCUAUAAAGACACAUUCACACAUAUGUUUAUUGCAGGACUUUUCACAAUAGCAAAGACUUGGAACCAACCCAAAUGUCCAUCAAUGAUGGACUGGAUAAAGAAAAUGUGGCACAUAUACACCAUGGAAUAUUAUGCAGCCAUUAAAAAGGAUGAGUUCGUGUCCUUUGCAGGGAUAUGCAUAAAGCUGGAAACCAUCAUUCUCAGCAAACUAACACAGGAACAGAAAACCAAACACCACAUGUUCUCACUCAUAAGUGGGAGUUGAACAAU
rnacentral:lncRNA from 1 species